UCUUAAUUGGAGGCUCGUAUGAAUGGUUGGACAAAAAGCAAACUGUCUCAAUUAUAUUUAUUGAAUUUAACUUUUAAGUGAAAAGGCUUAAAUAAAUUAAGGGGACGAUAAGACCCUAUAAAGCUUUACAAUAAGUUACCUAUAUUAUAAAUUGUUAGUAUAACUUGAGUUUAGGUAACGUUUGUUGCGUUGGGGCGACGAGAAUAUAA
rnacentral:rRNA from 1 species